rnacentral:lncRNA from 1 species
GCAGAGCUUUCCGCUCGUCCCAGCUGCACCUCGGUCCUGCAGGCCGUCCGCCUGGCGCAGCUGUAGCCAUAGCAACUCACGCAGGACCGCGCUUUACAGUUUACCAGGCACUCGGACGCCUUUGGCGCGAGCGCCCGUCGCUCCUUCCUCAGGUCACUGCGGUGCACCGUGCGGGUCCGCGUCGUGUCCUCCGCUCCGGAGCAGGGACCGGGCGUGCUCGUUCAGUCCUGUGCGCACUCGGAAUGGGGCCGGGGAAGGCUGAGCCUCAGGGCGACCCUGAUGUGGAGCCGUGCGACCGCUCACUGCGGUUGAAGAGACCCAGGCGCAGACAGCGCAGGCGGGGUAUGUAUUGGUUGGAGUAUGAUGGGGUCAGGACUUGAGUCUUUUACCCAGGCCCGGAGUUAACGGUAUUGAACCCCUUCUCAUUUUGUAGAGGCUAUGUGACCCGCGAGAUGGACCAGGUUAAAUGCAGAGGCAGAUACAAAAAACCAGCCAUCUUAAGCCAGACAUUUGCAAAGUAGCCAAGCAGCGCUUCUUAUCUUACUGAGUCCCUUCUUGCUAGGAGGAAAUUGUUAUUCAGAAGUUUGAGUUUUAGAUUUUUUUUGUUUUUUUUGAGACGGAGUCUCGCACUGUCGCCCGGGCUGGAAUGCAGUGGUGUGAUCUCAGCUCACUGCACCUUCCGCCUCCCGGGUUCAAGCAAUUUUCCUGCCUCAGCCUCCCAAGUAGCUGGGAUUACAGGCGCCCGCCACCACGCCCAGCUAAUUUUUGUAUUUUUAGUAGAGAUGGGGUUUCACCAUCUUGGCCAGGCUGGUCUCAAACUCCUGACCUCGUGAUCCGCCCGCCUUGGCCUCCCAAAGUGCUGAGAUUACCGGCGUGAGCCACCGUGCCCGGCCUUUUUUUGAUGUCAUUGUUGAGAUGGAGUCUGGCUGUGUCUCCAGGCUGGAGGGCAGUGGCGCGAUCUGGGCUCACUGCAACCUCCACCUCCCAGGUUCAAGCGAUUCUCCUGCCUCAGCCUCCCAAGUAGCUGGGACUACAGGUGUGUGCCACCAUGCCCAGCUAAUGUUUUUAUUUUUAGUAGAGACAGGGUUUCACCAUGUUGGCCAGGCUGGUCUCGAACUCCUAACCUCAAGUGAUCCACCCACCUCAGCCUCCCAAAGUUCUGGGAUUAGAGGUGUGAGCCACUGUGCCCGGCCGGUUUUUAAUUUUUAUAAAGACCAGGUCUUUGCUCUGUUGCCCAGGCUGGAGUGCAGUGGCAUGACCAUAGCUUACUGCAGCCUUGAACUCCUGAGGUCGAGCAAUCUUCUAGCCUCAACUUCCUGAGUAGCUAGGACUACAGGCAUGCAACACCAUGCCCGGCUAAGACAUCCUACUUUAAAAUAUGUCAAACUUCACAGCACAGUUCUUUUUUUAAAAUACAGAUUUAAUGAGAUAAUUUACAUGUCAUACAAUUCAAACAUUGUAAGUACACAUUUGGAUGACCUUUAAUUUAUACUGUUGUGUAGCCAUCACCAUAAUCCACUUAUAGAAAACUUCCAUCACCCCAAAACGUUCCCUUGGGCCUAUUUGUAGUCAGUCUCUGCUCUCACCCCCAGCCAACCUCUGAUCUACUUUGCAUGGUUUUUGCCUUUUCCAGAAAUUUCAUAGAAAUGGAAUAAUAGCAUAUAAUUUUUUUGGUCUGGCUUCUUUCACUUAGCAUCACGUUUCUGAGGCUCAUCUGUGUUGUAGGUAUGAGUGGUUUGUUCCUUUUCAUUGCUGAGUGGUAUUCCAUUAAUGCAAUUGUGUCAUCAUUUGCUUAUCCAUUUAUCUGUUGAUAGACAUUUGGAUUGUUUCUAGUUUGGGAAAUAAAUAAUUCUGUUUUGAACUCAUGUACAAAUUGUUGUUUUCAUUUCUUUUGUGUGUGUGUGUGUGAGAUGGAGUCUCACUCUGUAGCCCAAGCUAGAGUGCAGUGGCACGAUCUCGGCUUACUGAAACCUUUGCCUCUGGGGCUCAAGUGAUUCUCCUGCCUCAGCCUCCCAAGUAGCUGGGACUAGAGGUGUGCCCCACCACACCCGGUUAAUUUUUUUGUAUUUUUAGUGGAGACGGGGUUUUACCAUGUUGCCCUGGGUGGUCUGGAGAGCUACCACCUUAGCCUCCCAAAGUGCUGGCAUUACAGGUGUGAGCCACCACACCCAGCCUGUUGUUUUCAUUUCUUUUAGACAUAUACUUAGGAGUGGAUUGCUGGGUUUUAAGGUAAGUGUAACUUUUUAAGAAACUGCUGGCCAGGUGUGGUGGCUCACACCUGUAAUCCUAGCACUUUGUGGGGCCAAGACAGGUGGAUCACUUGAGCCCAGGAGUUGAAGUCCAGCCUGGGCAACAUGGUAUAACCCUGUGUCUACUAAAAAUACAAAAAUUAACCCGUCGUGGUGGCACAUGCCUGUAAUCCCAGCUACUCAGGAGGCUGAGGCAGGAGAAUUGCUUGAACCCGGGAGGUGGAGGGCUCUACUAAAAAUAGAAAAACUGAGGUGGGAGGAUCACCUGAACCUGGGGAGGUCAAGGCUGCAGGGAGCCAUAAUUGUGCCUGCACUCCAGGUCUCGCCCUGUCGCCCAGGCUGGAGUGCAGUGGCGUGAUCUCGGCUCACUGCAACCUCUGCCUCCUGGGUUCAAGAAAUUGUCCUGCCUCAGCCUCCCAAGUAGCCAGGACUACAGGUGCACGCCACCACGCCCAGCUAAUUUUUUGUAUUUUAGUAGAGACAGGGUUUCACUGCAUUGUCCAGGCUGGUCUUGAAUCCCUGAGCUCAGGGAAUCUCCCCCCUCAGCUUCUCAAAGUGCUAGGAUUACAGGCAUGGGCCACCACACCCGGCCGAUAUAAAACUUUUAACAAAACCCCAGACUUUAUUCCAAUGACAAUUUUUCUGCUGGGCAUGGCGGUUCACGCCUGUAAUCCCAGCAUUUUGGGAGGCUGAGGUGGGAGAAUCACUUGAGCCCAGGAGUUGGAGACCAGCCUGAGCAACAUAGUGAGACCCCCAUCUCUACUUAAAAAAACAAAAAUUAAAAAUAAGACUAGCCAGGUGUGGUGGUGCAUGCCUGUAGUCCCAGCUACUCGAGAGGGUUAGGUGGAAAGACUGCUUGAGGCUGGGACAUUGAGGCUGCAAUGAGUCAUGAUGGUACCACUGCACUCCAGCCUGAGUGACAGAGCCAAAACCCUGUCUCAAAAAAAAAAAAGAAAAAAAAAAAAGGCCAAGCACGGUGGUCCACACCUGCACUUAUAGUCCCAGCACUUUGGAAGGCCGAGGCAGGAGUAUCACUUGAGCCCAGGGUUGGAGAACAGCCUGGGCAACAUGGCGGAAACCCAUCUCUACCAAAAAAAAAAAAUUCAAAAAUUAUGGCCGGGCACAGUGGCCCAUGGCUGUAAUCCCAGCAUUUUAGGAGGCCAAGGCAGGCAGAUCACUUGAGCCUAGGAGUUCAAGACCAGUCUGGCCAAACUGGCAAAACCCCAUCUCUACUAAAAAUCCCAGCUACUCAGGAGGCUGAGGCAGGAGAAUUGCUUGAACCUGGGAGGUGCCACUGCACUCCAGCCUGGGCAAUAGGGUGAGACUCAGUCUCAAAAAAAAAAAAGUGUCAUUUACAAUAACAUCAAAAGAAUAAAAUAUUUGGAAUAAGAUAUUGAAUUUAAUAAAAUAAGUCCAAAGCCUAUACACUCAAAACCACAAAACAUUGCUGAAGCAAAUUACAGAUCUAAAUAAGACAUUGUAACAUGUUAACGGAUUUGCAAGACUCAAUAUCACACUGGCAUGAUCUCGGCUCACUACAGGCUCCACCUCCCAGGUUUAAGCGAUUCUCCUGCCUAAGGCUCCUGAGUAGCUGGGAUUACAGGCAAGUGCCACCACAUCCAGCUAAUUUUUUUUUUUUUUUUUUUUUUUUUAGUAGAGACAGCAUUUCAUUAUGUUGGCUAGGCUGGUCUCGAACUCCUCACCUCAAGUGAUCUGCCUGCCUCGGCCUCCCAAAGUGCGGGGAUUACAGGCGUUGAGCCACUGUACUGGGCCUAUCAUGGAUUUUCAAUUGUAUAUUUUUCCUUUCAAUUCUGUUUUUGAGACUAAUGUUAGCAGUGUAUAUAUUUAUAAUGGCUAAAUCUUCAUAAUGUAUUGAUAUAGCCAUUAUCAUCAUAAAAUGUUCCUUUAUGUUUCUAAUAUUAAUACUACUAUUAAAGUCUAUGCUGAGUUAAAUGUAUGCAGGAAGAACUUGGGGAAAAAGGCCAUGUUGACUGUUGUUCAUAUAGCUAUUCCUGCUCUCUUGUGAUUCUUGAUUGCAUGGUAUAUCUUUUCACUUUCACUCUAUUAUUUGUGUCUUUGAAUCUAAAGGAUCUCUUGUAGAUAGCAUAUAGUUGAAUCUUGCUUUUUUAUACAGUUUUACAGUCUGUGCCCUUUGGAAUAUUUAGUCCAUUCAUGUUUAAUGUAAUUGUUGAUAUGGUUGAAUAUAUGGAUGACAUUUUAAUACUUGUUUUCUAUAUUUCUCAUCUUUGUUGUCCCUUUGUUUCUCUUUAAUUCUUUUUUGAGAUGGAGUCUCACUCUGUCGCCCAGGCUGGAGUGCAGUGGCACCAUCUCAGUUCACUGCAACCUCCACCUCACGGGUUAAAGCAAUUCUCCUGUUUUAAGCCUGCCAAGUAGCUGGGAUUACAGGCAUGCCACCAUGACUGGCUAAUUUUUGCAUUUUUAGUAGAGACAGGGUUUCACCAUGUUGGCCAGGCUGGUCUUGAGCUCCUGACCUCAGGUGAUCUGCCUGCCUCGGCCUCCCCAAGUGCUGGAAUUACUGGCGUGAGCCACCACGCCUGGCUUCUUUAACUCCUUUUUCUGUGUUACAUUUGUGUAUGUGUAUGUAUGUAUUAUCCUGAUCCCAAAGUUGAAGGGUUUUUUCCUUUUAGUUAUAUGUUUGAGUUACUUUCUGUGUGGUUGUCUAGGGAUUGCAGUAUGUAGCUUUAACUUAUUACAGUAUAUUUCAGCUCAAUACUGAAAAUUCUGGUAAAAUACAGUAACUUUACUACCCUUCCCUUGCUCUUCCUUUGUGUUAUAUAUAUAUCUUUAUAUGUUAUAAACCCAGCAAUGUGUUAUAACUGGUUUAAACAACCUUGUUUUUUAAAAAAUUAAAAAAGAGAGAAAAAUAUAAAGUAUAAAAGAGAAAUAUAGGGAGGCCGAGGUGGGCAGAUCACGAGGUCAGGAGAUCGAGACCAUCCCGGCUAACUUGGUGAAACCCCGACUCUACUAAAAAUACAAAAAAUUAGCUGGGUGUGGUGGCGUGCACCUGUAGUCCCAGCUACUCAGGAGGCUGAGGAAGGAGAAUUGCUUGAACCCGGGAGGCGGAGGCUUCAGUGAGCCGGGAUUGUGCCACUGCACUCCAGUCUGAGCAACAGACCAAGACACUGUCUCAAAAAAAAAAAAAAAAAAAGAGAAAUAUAUAGUGUUUUACAUUUAGCUGCCUUCAUCAUUCUAGUGCUCCAUGCCUUCUGGUGAAUUCAAGAUAUUGUUCUAGUGUCCUUUUCUUUUAGGCUGAAGGACUUCCUUUAGUACUUCUUUUUUUUUUUUUUUUGGAGACAGAAUUUUGCUCUUGUCAACCAUGCUGGAGUGCAGUGGCUCAAUCUCGGCUCACCACAACCUCUGCCUCCCAGGUUCAAGCGAUUCUUCUGCCACAGCCUCCCAAGUAGCUGGGAUUACAGGCAUGUGCCAUCAUGCCUGGCUAAUUUUGUAUUUUUAGUAGAGAUGGGGUUUCUCCAUGUUGGUCAGGCUGGUCUCGAACUUCCGACCUCAGGUGAUCUGCCUGCCUUGGCCUCAGAAAGUGCUGAGAUUACAGGAGUGAGCCACCACACCCGGCCCCUUUAGUACCUCUUUUAGGAGAGGUCUGCUAGCAAUAAUUCUCUUAUUCUCCCUUUUUAAAAAUCUCAGAAUGUCUUUAUUUCACCUUUUUCUUGGGACAGGGUCUUGGUCUGUCACCCAGUCUGGAGUGCUGUGGUUUGAACAUAGCUUACUGUACCCCCAACCUCCUGGGCUCAAGCAGUUCUCCCACUUCAGCCUCCCAAGUAGCUAGGACCGCAGGUGGGUGCCACCAUGUCUGGCUAAUUUUUAAAAUUUUUCUGUAGAGGCUGGUCUGGUCCUCCUGGGCGCAAGCAAUCCUGCUUCAGACUCCCACAGUGCUGGGAGUACAGGUGUGAGCCACCGCACCCGGCCUCACCUUCACUUUUGAAGGCUAGUUUUGCUGUAUAUAAAAUUAUUGGGUGAUUGUUUUUUCCUUUCAGCACUUUGAAUAUCCAUUGCAGUGGCUUUAGCCUUUACUGUUUCUGAUGAGCAGUUAAGCAUUUUUUUUUUUUUUUUUUUUUUUUCAGAGACAGGGUGUUGCUCUGUUGCCCAGGCUGGGGUGCAGUGGCACAAUCACAGUUCACGGCAACCUUGACCUCCUGGGCUCAAGCAAUCCCACCUCAGCCCCCAAAAUGAGUGGGACUACAGGUUCACGCCACCAUGCCUGGCUAAUUUUUGUAUUUUUAAUAGAGAUGGAGUUUCACCAUGUUGGCCAUGGCUGGUCUCAAACUCCUGAUCUCAAGUGAUCUGCCCACCUUGGCCUCCCAAAGUGCUAGGAUUACAGGUGUGAGCCACCACACCCAGCCCAGAUUUUUGUUUCUUUUCUUUUUCCUUUUUUUUUUUGACACAGGGACUCGCUCUGUUGUCCAGCCUGAAGUGCAGUGGCUCACUGCAGUCUUGAACUCCUGGGCUCAAGCAAUCCUCCCAUCUCAGCCUCCCAAGUUGUUGGGACUACAGGUGCACACCACCGUGUCUGGCCUUUUUUUUUUUUUUUUUUUUUUUUAAGAGACAAGACGAGAUCUCUCUCUGUUGCCCAGGCUGGUCUCAAACUCCUGGACUUAAAUAAUCCUCCCACCUUGGCGUCCCAAAGUGCUAGGAUUACAGGUUGAGCUACUGCACCCAGAUUUUUUUUAUUCUUUAGGUUUUAGCUUGACUUCCUGAUGGUUGCCUUGUGUCUCCAUAACUUAGUGGCCAAAGAUCUGGGAAGAGGUUGUGCUCAAACACCUUGGCUGUGCUCAGAUAUUUAGGCCUAUCUGGGUGGGUUGGCGGUGCAUUCAGGGAUCACCUACUUCUUAAAUCUCCCUUGGCUUUUUUUUUUUUUUUUUUUUGAGACAGAAUUUUGCUCUUGCUCCCCAGGCUGGAGUGCAGUGGUGGGAUCUUGGCUCACUGCAACCUCUGCCUCCUGGGUUCAAGCGAUUCUCCUACCUCAGCCUCCCAAGUAGCUGGGAUUACAGGCACCUGCUACCAUGCCUGGCUAAUUCUUUGUAUUUUUAGUAGAGACGGGGUUUCACCAUGUUGGCCAGGCUGGUCUUGAACUCCUGACCUCAGGUGAUCCACCCGCCUCUGCCUCCCAGAGUGCUGGGAUUACAGCGUGAGCCCACCACAACCAGCCUCCCUUGACUUUUAACAUUUUUCUUUUUCUUUUUUUUUUUUUUGAGAUGGAGUUUCACUCUGUCACCCAGGCUGGAGUGCAAUGAUGCAAUCUCAGCUCACUGCAACCUCCGCCUCCUGGGUUCAAGCGAUUCUCCUGCCUCAUCCUCCCAAGUAGCUGGGAUUACAGGCAUGCACCACCACGCCUGGCUAAUUUUUGUAUUUUCAGUAGAGACGGGGUUUUGCUGUGUUAGCCAGGCUAGUCUUGAACUCCUGACCUCAGGUGAUCUGCCUACCUUGGCCUCCCAAAGUGCUGGGAUUACAGGUGUGAGCCAUGGUGCCCAGCUCUCCCUUGGCUUUUAAUUUCUAUGGGCUUUCUGAAGUCUCAUCUGUGUACGUGUCUGGUUUUCCAGCCAGCGAGUGAUGUGCUGAGGUCCUGUCUAAUCCUUUUGUGGCAUUCUCAUUUCCAGAGUCUCCUAGAUUUCUAGCUAGUCUGCUACUUGAGAUCUCAGGCUAGUAAGCUGUGGGUUUCUUUCUCAAGAAACGGCUUUCUCAAGCCGUUUAUUUCUCAAGAACUUUGCCACUUUUAGCUGAUAAAAAAGUACACUUCUUGAGGCCGGGUGCGGUGGCUCACGCCUGUAAUCCCAGCACUUUGGGAGGCUGAGGAGGGCGGAUCACAAGGUCAGGAGUUUGAGACCAGCCUGACCAAAAUGGUGAAACCCCGUCUCUACUAAAAAUUGAAAAAUUAGCCAGGUAUGGUGGCAGGCGCCUGUAGUCCCAGCUACUCGGGAGGCUGAGGCAGGAGAAUGGCGUGAACCCGGGAAGCGGAGCUUGCAGUGAGCUGAGAUCGCGCCACUGCACUCCAUCCUGGGCGACAGAGUGAGACUCCAUUUAAAAAAAAAAAAAAAAAAAAAAAGGUACACUUCUCGGCCCGGGUCAGUGGCUCACACCUGUAAACCCAGCACUUUGGGAGGCCGAUUUAGGAGGCCGAGGUGGAGGAUCACCUGAGGUCGGGAGUUUGAGACCAGCCUGACCAACAAGGAGAAACCCCAUCUCUACUAAAAAUAAAAAAUUAGCCGCAGUGGUGCAUGCCUGUAAUCCCAGCUACUGGGGAGGCUGAGGCAAAAGAAUUGCUUGAACCUGGGAGGCAGAUGUUGCAGUGAGCCGAGAUCGUGCCACUGCACUCCAGCCUGGGCAACAAGAGCAAAACUCCGUCUCAAAAAAAAAAAAGUUCUAGCACUUUUUUUUUCUUUAUCUUUUUCUUUUCUUUUGAUACUAAGUUUCGCUCUUGUUGCCCAGUCUGGAGGGCAGUGGUGCUAUCUUGGCUCACCGCAACCUCCGCCUCCCAGGUUCAAGCGAUUCUCCUGUCUCAGCCUCCCAAGUUGCUGGGAUUACAGGCAUGAGCCACCAUGCCUGGCUAAUUUUUUUGUAUUUUUCGUAGAGACAUGGGUUUCACCAGGUUGGUCAGGCUGGUCUCGAACUCCUGACCUCAGGUGAUCCACCUGCCUAGGCGUCCCAAAGUGCAGGGAUUACAGGCGUGAGCCACUCUUUUUCUUUUUAUUAUUCAUUAUUAUUUUUUGUAGAGACAGGGUCUUGCUUGGUUGCAUAGGCUGGCCUUGAACUCCUGGCCUCCAGCCAACUUCCCACCUUUGCUUCCCAAAGUGUUGGGAGAUUACAGGUGCAAGCUACCGUGCCCAGCCAGUUUUUUCUCAAGAAUAAAUGCUUCUUAAUUUGCCUGCCUUUGGUUGAUGUCCAGAACCUUGAAAUGUUUUUGGUAUAUAUUUUUUCCAAUUUUAUGCUUUUUUAUUUUUGUAGAGUGCAUUCCCUAUUCUCUUCACGCUGCAGCAGCCAGCAGUCCCUCCACAGCACUGUCCUUGUCCUUUUGUCUGUGGUUAAGGCCUUCCUCCAGAGUCCGCCAGAAAGUAGUCAGGGUCUGUGGGCUUUUACUGAAGGCCCUGACCACAGGGCAUGCUGCAAUAAUAGAUCCUGUGCUGGGUGCUGCCUCUGCUGGCAUUUCUCUUUCACAGGCUGGAUUUGGGACCUCAGCCUUACAGGAAAUAAGGAGACUGAGGAUCAGAAAAUGUGGAGAGAAGCCUCAAUAGAAAGGACACACAGGCUCACACCUGUAACUCCAGCACUUUGUGAGGCCGAGGCGGGUGGAUCACCUGAGGUCAAGAGUUUGAGACCACCAACAUGGCAAAACCCCGUCUCUACUAAAAAUACAAAAAAUUAGCCAGGCGUGUUGGUGGGCGCCUGUAAUCCCAGCUACUCGGGAGGCUGAGGCAGGAGAAUCACUUGAACCCAGGAGGCAGAGGUUGCAGUGAGCCGAGAUCACGCAACUACACUCCAGCCUGGACCACAAGAGUGAAACUCGUCUCAAAAAAAACCCCCCCAAAAUUAGCUGGGCGUGGUGGUGCAUCCUGUAGUCCCAGCUACUUAGGAGGCUGAGGCCUAAGAAUUGCUUGAACCCAGUGGUAAGGGUGGGGGACAGAGGUUGCAGUGAGCCAAGAUCAUGCCAUUGCACUCCAGCCUGGGCAACAGAAUGAUGCUCUGUCUCAAAAAAAGGACAAAAGGACUGAGAGCCUCCUCAAACUCCUGCCUUGCUCCAGAGGCUCACAGCAGUCCUCAGGCUGCUUGACGACAGGGAUGCCACUGCCUGCCUGUCCUGCUUCCUUCCCAGGGUGGGCACAGCAAAAUGAGCUAAUGUCCAUGAAAGUUCCUUUUAAACUUAAGACUGCUCCACAAUUUUCAUAUUUAUUAAUAUUCUCUAACGUGACAAACUCAGCUCAGGGAAGUUGAACUUCCCAGCUAGUUAGUGGCGGAGGUGAACUUUAACCCAAGUCUACUUACUAGGGCCAAGCCCAGCAUUCUUUCCCAAUAGGGUUAGCAGGACAUAAUCAUGUAUACUCACAGUGACUGUGUUCCCAAUGAACCUGGGUAUGUCUGCAUUUUAGAGAUGUUUCAUUGACUUUCAACGGAAAGCUGGAUUUUGGAGAACAAACAGUACUUGCAGAAAUUUCACAAGUAGAACUUCACACAAUGGCUCCCUUAAAAGAACCUUGGUGACAGGCAUCCUUUUCAACUUUGUUGCAGCUGCUUCCUCUUUCUAUGGGGCUCAGUUACAAGGAAAGCCUACCAUCAGACUUUCUUGCAGGAACAAAUUGAUUGCUUUAGUCUGAGAUUUAGCAAGGGAGAAAUUAUGCUGAGUCAAUGUGAAUAAUUUAACCAAGUUACUACUGAAGAGAUUUUAUGCAAACAUAUUGCAUAAAAUCAAUAUGUAUCUAAUCAUAUAGUCAUGUUUUCCCUUCUAAUAAUGUUACAUGCUACACAAACUUUCCAUUUCCAUGUUAAGGUUCUAAUCAGCAGUAAAAAAUACUGCUUCUCAGAAUUGCUGGAAAACUACAGUAAGCUGGCUUGGGAGAGCAGGACUGGAACAAAGGCAAGUCUCCCCCUGGGGAUGAACAGAAUCAAGCCAGGGCGCGCUAGAGCUGUGUCAGGCUGACUUAGCUUUUUAGUUGUUAGAAACUCAAGUGCUUGGCUUAAAAUGCUUAAGAAAGUCAACCCACAUUAUUAUCCACCAGAAAAACUUUCUGGCUUGCCCUAACUCCCCAAAUCCCAAAUCAAAGCAUGAGCACAAGUUCUACAAGAACAGCCCUCUAUGCAAACCUCCCAGGGUGGAAUCCUAGUUUGAUUUACGUAAGAGGGUGUGUAAAGCAACAUACCAGUAAGGGCAGAUUUGAAAAUCCCAGCUCUGACACUCACUCAACUAAAUAAUUCUCGUAGCUGAACUCAAACUGAACUCAAAUGACCUGAAUAUAUUUUAGGUGGAAAGAGUACUUUUUUUUUUUUUGAGACGUGGUCUUGCCCUGUUGCCUGGGCUAGGCUGGAACUCCUGGGCUCAGAGGAGCUUGCAUGAAAUGAUGCCUUUCAUUUACAGGCACAUGCCACUAUGCCCAGCUCCUUUUUUUUUUUUUUUUUUUUUUUGAGACAGGGUCUUGCUUUGUUACCCAGGCGCCAGUGGCACCAUCAUAGCUCACUGCAGUCUCAAACUCCUGGGCUCAAGGGAUCCUCCCAUCUCAGCUUCCUGAGUAGCUGAGGCUACAGGUGUGUACCACCAUGCCCAGUUAAUUGUUUUUAUUUUUUGUAGAAAUGGGGGCUCACUAAGUUGCCCAGGCUGGUUUUGAGCUCUGGCUUCAAGUGAUCCUCCUGCCACGGCCUCUCAAAGUGCUGGGAUUACAGGUGUAAGCCACCAUGCCUGCUCCCCCCGCCUUUUUUUUUUUUUUUUUUUUUUUUUAAAGAAACAGGUUCUUGCUUUGUUGCCCAUGCUGGCCUUGAACUGCUGGACUCAAGCAAUCAUUCCACGUUAGCUUCCAGAGUAGCAGAAGGAGCAAUUCUGAAAAAGCCCAGAGGCUAUAUAUUCUCACCCCAGAGGAGUAUGCUUGUGAUGUGCUCAGAAUAGCUAAAAUGGUCUGUGCAGGGACAAGAGUUCCUAAGGGAAAGUGGAAUAUCUCCCCAUCCAACCGCAAGUGGAAUAACAAGAAGAACCAGAUAGAAAAGCAGCGCACGAGCCCGGGCCAGGCGCAGUGGCCCACACCUGUAAUCCCAGCACUUUGGGAGGCCGAGGUGGGCAGAUCACAAGGUCAGGAGAUCAAGACCAUCCUGGCUAACACGGUGAAACCCUGUCUCUACUAAGAAAUACAAAAAAUUAGCCAGGCGUGGUGGCGGGCGCCUGUAGUCCCAGCUACUCAGGAAGCUGAGGCAGGAGAAUGGCGUGAACCCAGGAGGCGGAGCUUGCAGUGAGCCGAGAUUGUGCCACUGCACUCCAGCCUGGGCGACGGAGCAAGACUCCGUCUCAAAACAACAACAACAAAAGAAAAGCAGCGCACCAGACUCAUGCAUGCUUCCAUGGGUCACCUGACUUCCCAAACUAUCAGCUUUGCAAGAGACAUGGGGAUUUACUAAGCGUGCAACCCUAGUGAGGAUUCAAUCCUACAUGCUCCUGGGUGAGGUCUAGUUGAGGGCACAACCAGCAUAAUAUGCACUGAUUCGGGGAUGAUCUCCCAUUUUAAACUGCAAGUCCAGUUUCAGGAAGACGUGGCCUGACAUAAGCCCUAGAGCUGACAUUAACUAACUUUUUUUUUUUUUUUUUUUUUGAGACAAAAAUCUCGCUCUGUAGCCCAGGCUGGAGUGCAAUGGUGUGAUCCCGGCUCACCGCAACCUCUGCCUCCCGGGUUCAAGUGAUUCUCCAGCCUCAGCCUCCCGAGUAGCUGGGAUUACAGGUACCCACCACCAUGCCCAGCUAAUUUUUGUAUUUUUAGUAGAGACAGGGUUUCACCAUGUUGGCCAGGCUGGUUUUGAACUCCUGAGCUCAGGUGAUCCACCCGCCUUAGCCUCCCAAAGUGCUGGGAUUACAGGCAUGAGCCACCACGCCCAGCCAGACAUUAACUUAAGACUGAAGAGUCCUAGCAAUCCAGAGACUUGCAGUGUUCCUAUCACUGAGCUGUCGGCAGCACUGUGGAUAUAAGCCAGGGUGCUCAGUUGGAUCUAGGACCUACCUCUCUGCUGUGCACUGGCCCCCAGUCCCUCAGGCCCACUCCACAACUCUCUCCACCUCACUGUCUUCCCCACUGCCAGGUUUUCCCUCCCAGUUCAUUUUUUCCAAUUAGUACAUGCACAAGCUAUGCUAUUUCCCUUCUUUAAAACAAAAGCCUCUCCUUUACCCCAUAUCCCCUUCCAGUUACUCCAUUUGUCUUUUCCCUUUUACAGAAAAAUCUAUGAAAGAAUUGUUUGUACUGUUUCACCCUCCUCUCCUCCCACUUUCCCUAGAACCUACUCCAAUUAGGCACCACUCAAACAAAUGCUCCCCUCACCAAUGACCUUGCUAGUGUAGAAGCACUCCUGAUGCCUCCCUCCAUGAGAAGUGAGCCCCAUUACUAGAAUGUUCCUGUGAGUCUGGAAGGAGCGGUUAGGCAUAGACUGCCUGGCCACUUCCUCCCUCUCUCUCAGAACCUCGGCUGCCUUCAGGGGACAUAUGCGCUGCGUUCCUCUUAACUUCUGCUACUCAAAGAGUGAUCCCCACAAUGGCAAUACUGACAUCACUUGGAAGCUUAUUAGAAAAGCAGAAUCUCAGGCUCCACCCAAGCCCUACUCAAUCAGAACCUGCAUUUUAGUACGAUCCCCAGGGGAUUCUGGUGCACAAUAAAGUUCAAGAAGCACUGCUCUAAACCGCCUCAUUCUGAGGUUCAGCCUUACAAAAUAAAUCCAGGCCGGGCGCGGUGGCUCACGCCUGUAAUUCCAGCACUUUGGGAGGCUGAGGCGGGCAGACCAUGAGGUCAGGAGAUCGAGACCAUCCUGGCUAACAUGGUGAAGCCCCGUCUCUACUAAAAAUACAAAAAAAAAAAUUAGCCGGGCGCGGUGGCGGGUGCCUGUAGUCCCAGCUACUGGGGAGGCUGAGGCAGGAGAAUGGUGUGAAUCUGGGAGGCGGAGCUUGCAGUGAGCCAAGAUGACACCACUGCACUCCAGCCUGGGCGACAGAGCGAGAUGCCAUCACAAAAAAAAAAGAAAAGAAAAGAAAUCCAGUGUUCCCAGAUGUAACCACAUUUUCUAACAGCAGUUUUAUCAGUAAUAAGGGUGGUAUUUUGGUCUCCCAUCUCCCAUCGUCUUAUUUUUUGUUUCUUAAUUGGUUCUGAAAUUGGGAAAAAUUAGGGUAUCCCCUGGCUCCCUCGGACUUCUUACACCUUUCAGUUAACAAAACCUGUGGUCCCUGCUCAGUCCUUCCUGUAACCUAUUGGCUGCCCUGGACAAAGCAACCACUUCCUCAGUCUUCCACACUCUCCCUCCACGGCCACUGCUUGUCCUCCUGGCUGGACUCCUCUCUCUUCCUGACCUCCAUGUGUUGGAGCGCACCAAGCUCCAAGAUCAGUCCUUGGUUCCUGUCAGCCACACACACGCUCCAGGUCUCCUUCCCUGCCUGAGGCUCGAUCUGCUAUCUUCAUGCCGCCAACUCCCAAAUGUGUGUCUCCAGCUCCAACCACUCCCCUUGAAUCCCGCUAGUCCAGCCAACUGUUUUGUUGACUAUACACUUAGGUGCAUGUGUUGGCAUCUGAAAGUGAACAUGACUCAAAUCAAAUUAUUAUUAUUAUUUUGAGACAGUUUCGCUCUCUGUUGCUCAGGCUGGAGUGCAGUGGCGUGAUCUCAGAUCACUGCAACCUCUGCCUCCUGGGUCCAAGCGGUUCUCCUGUCUCAGCCUCCCAAAUAGCUGGGAUUACAGGCGCCUGCCACCACGCCCCGCUAAUUUUUGUAUUUUUAGUAGAGACGGGGUUUCACCAUGUUGGCCAGGCUGGCCUCAAACUCCUGACCUCAGGUGAUCUGCCCGCCUCGGCCUCCCAAAGUGCUAUUUUCUUAACAGUCAGGGUCUCAACUCUGUUGACCAGGCUGGAGUGCAGUGGCAAGAUCACAGCUCACUGCAGCUUCCAACUCCUGGGCUCAAGCGAUCCUUCUGCCUUAGUCUCCUGGGUAUCUGGCACUACUGGCGUGCACCAUCAUGCCCAGCUAAUUUUUAAUUGUUUGUAGAGAUGGGGUCUCACUACAUUGCCCAGGCUGGUCGGUCUCGAAGUCUUGGGCUCCAGUGAUCCUCCCACCUUGGCUUCCCAAAGUGCUGGGAUUACAGGCAUGACCAUUCUCAGCUUUUGUUCUACCAAUUGUCUUCACCUUAGAAAACUGCAAUGCUGUUCUUUUACUCAGGCACUUACCCUUUUAGUUACUUUUCUCCUUUCUCUCCAACAACUCUGCAUGAAGUCUCUCAGAAAACUGUUCUAACUUCAAAAUGUACCUUGAAUCUGCCCAUUUCGUCCCACCUAUACUCUACUACCUUAGUCUGAGCCACCGUCUCCUCCCCUGGAAUACUGGGGUAACAAUCUUAUUUUGCCCCUUUUUUCCACUUGUCCCUGCCUGAGUACAAAGACUGUUUUCCAGAAUGGUCUUUUAAAAAUGUAAAUAAGCCCCUGUGACUCCUCUGCUCCAAAGCCUUCAAUGGCUUCCCAUUCACUCUAAUGAAAUUCCAAGUCCUCACCUAAGCCCUAAAUAUCCUGGUCCCUGGCUACUUUCUGAUGUCUUCUAUUGCGCUCCCAGUCCCUGACUCUGUACCAGCGACCUUGCUAUUUCUGGAACCUACUGAGGACACUGCUGCCUCAAGGGCUUCAUUUCUCUACUUGGAGACCUCUUUGCCCAGGGGUUUGCAUGGCUUACCCUAUCCUUUCAUUCUAGAGUCUGCUCAAAUGUGAUCUCCGAAGAGAGGCCUUCCCUGACUAUGCCAUCUAAACAUCCCUCGUUCCCAUCCCUCUUUCAUCCUUUUAUUUAGCUGCUUUCCUCCAAAAUACUUAGGACCGAUGUUGUAAAUUUGUUUAAACAUUGUCUUCCCCACUGGAAUGGGAGGGCACAAGUGCAUGGGCUUGCUUUGUUGGCUGCUGAAUUACUGCACCCAGCAGCACACCAGGCACAGGGUGGGUACUCAAAUAUUGGUUGGAACAAAUCAUUGCUUUUAACCUGAGGGCUGCUCCUCCCUCCCUUCUUCUGUUUCUCCCCAAACACCCAGGACAGUGGCCCCUGCUCAUGCUCUGCUCGUGAUGAGGGCUUGUUAAAUUAAAUUGACAUGUUCAACUUUUCAAAUCCCCAUUUACCCUUCCCCACCCAAAAAAACCCAACAUGGCCAGGCACGGUGGCUCACGCCUGUAAUCCCAGCACUUUGGGAGGCCGAGGUGGGCGGAUCACCUGAGGUCAGGAGUUUGAGACCAGUCUGGCCAAUGUGCUGAAACCCCGUCUCUACUAAAAAUAUUUUUAAAAAUUAGCCAGGUGUGGUGGCGGGCACCUGUAAUUGCAACUACCUGGGAGGCUGAGGAAAGAGAAUUGUUUGAACUGGGGAGGCAGAGGUUGCAGUGAGCUGAGAUGGUGCCAUUGCACACCAGCAUGGGUGACAAGAGUCAAACUCCAUCUCAAAAAAAUAAUUAUAGGUUGGGCACGGUGGCUCAAGCCUGUAAUCCUAGCACUUUGGGAGGCUGAGGCGGGUGGAUCACAAGGUCAGGAGCUUGAGACCAGCCUGGCCAACACAGUGAAACCCCUCUCUACUAAAAAUAAAAUCAGCCAGGCGUGAUGGAUGCCUGUAAUCCCAGCUACUUGGGAGGCUGAGGCAGGGAGAAUCGCUUGAACCCGGGAGGUGGAAAGUUGCAGUGAGCCGAGAUCAUGCCACUGUACUCCAGCCUGGACGACAGAGUGAGACUCCAUCUCAAAAUAAAUAAAUAAAUAAAUAAAAUAAUAAUAAUAAUAAUAAUAAUAAUAAUACAAAAAUUAGCCACGCAUGGUGGCGCACGCCUGUAAUCCCAGCUACUCAGGAGUCUGAGGCAGGAGAAUCGCUUGAACCCAGGAGGCAGAGGUUGCAGUGACCCGAGAUCACAUCACUGCACUCCAGCAUGGGUGACAGAGCAAGACUCUGUCUCAAAAAGAAAAAAAAAAAAAAAAAGAAGCCAACACAACACUACAGAAUUAUUGGAAGGCAUACAAGGAGGCUUCAGGAGAAAAACAACAAAUCUUCUAGCUAAAAUAACCACUUACAUCUUUGGGAGAAAAGUACUUUCAAAGAAACAGCACCAUAUUAGCUUUCUUGGUUAUAUAAAAACCACGAUUUUGAAUAUCAGAAAGGAAUACUUAAGCGAUGAUAUCGUGACUUCUGUCUUAGAAAGGUAUUAUCUUUGCAAAUCAAGAAAAGAAAUCUUUGUGCAAUUACCUUUCAAGGGGUGCAAGAAUAAAUGCACAUCGAGAACCUUCUGAUGCACUGGCUGUACCUUUAUUAUUUUUACCUCGUUCACUAACAGCUCCGUGACGCAAGGUUACCACACACAGUUAGAUAGUGUCUGCAUUGCACAUCUAAGGCUAUACAGCAAAAGAAUCAGAAUUAGUACAAAUACAAGAACUAUAUUUACAGUCUGUAUACUCAAGCUCCAAACAUCAGAUAAUAUUUACAAAAUAAAACAUGAAAAUGAAAAUCCAAAAUUAAUGUACAUUGUUGCUAAUGUGCUCAACUCCUUCACGGGGGAGAGAUCAGUUUGCAAAGUCUUGGUUCAAAAAGGCCACUUAUGCAUUAUGGGUUUUGUUGUCAUGUGUGAGGAUGGUGACAAGAGACUUGAAAUCUCAACAGACAGGUACUUUAGAGCCACAAAGUCUAAGACGAUGCCUUAAAUACAAGAAGGCUGAGGGACUCCUCAAGUGAGCUGAUGCCAGAAUAGGCAGAAUGAAAAAAAAUGAACUCGAAGACAUGAAGAACAACACACAACAGCCACGGUUUGGCAAGAGACCAACCUCAGCUCAGACUUUCCAUCUGAGCACAGCCGUUUGGCUAUGAGCUUUUUACUGAAUUUUAUAGCAACUCUGAUUUCUUCCUUUAAAUGAUUGGAGGCUUUUUAAAGAUCUUAUGGGGCUCAAAUACUAACUUCAUAAAUGGCCUUUUGAAUAACAGCAGCAAAUAAUCUCUCAGCUGAUAUUUCAAUUUACUAAGGAAGCACAAAUUAAAACAUUCCUGCUACACAGUCAUGGUCUGGCCACACACUGGGGUGAAUCACUGGCCCUGGUGAACAACUGUAGUGCACACAAGUUAGAGUCCUAUGUAAACACAUCCAGCAAACCUUCUGGGAGCAGCAGCAUCAUGAAUCUUUUCUUUUUUUUUGAGACGGAGUCCUGCUUUGUCACCCAGGCUGGAGUGCAAUGGUGCAGUCUCAACUCACUGCAGCCUCCACCUCCCAGGUUCAAGCUAUUCUCCUGCCUCAGCCUCCCAAGUAGCUGGGACUACAGGCACACGCCACCACGCCUGGCUACUUUUUGUAUUUUUAGUAGAGACGGGGUUUCACCAUGUUGGCCAGGCUGGUCUCAAACUUCUGACCUCAGGUGAUCCACCUGCCUUGGCCUCCCAAUGUGCUGGGAUUACAGGCGUGAGCCACCACACCCGGUUGAAUCUUUCAAGAGGCAGGUUAACAAUCACAUUUUUAAAAGGGAACCGAAAGGAAAACUGAAAGACCUAAGUCAAACAAGCCCUGAUACUGUCCAUUGGAACCCGAGCGGGACACAGCACGAGGGAAAUGCAGAAAGAGUACCGAUGAGUGUGCACACUGGAGAAUCCUUUCUCUCCAAUCCACUGUGCAAGUAAGUAUAGCUGGAUAAAUAUACAUAGACCUGACAAAAUUAAAUAUCCCUGUAAAUUAGACAAUAAGCAGCAGGCAACAAAGUCUUUGCUUUGGAAUAUGUGCCAGGAAAAGUCAUCUUGUUUUUAGAUCUCAAGAGACAGUUCACAAUGACUUAGUUCCUUCAUCUGAAAUGAGCUGAAAAAUCCAUAAAAAAUAGGAGAGUUGUCUGAAGUCUAUGUGACUGAAGGGAAAAAAUAUAUAAUAGUGGUUUCUUAGUUGGGAAACUCACUCCAUUGCCCCUUGCCGUCAGCACGUUUAACAACGAGCUGGGGCUCAGGUGCCCGGCCACUGCCACAAGCACCCCUUGCCUGUGCUCCUGACUAGCGCAUGGGCUGGCUGGCCCUGCACAGUCCUGGCCUGAGCGCUGACUGACUCCCAGGAGGGCACACAGACACAGAGAGGGUCUGAGCACUGAUUUGGGGCUGGUGGUGAGGCCAUAUUUUGCUUUGAUGGGAGAAAGGAGGAUGAGAGACAGAGGAGGAGGUGAUUAGUAUUAACUAGCACUUAUUUCUCUGAAUUUGCCUAAGAAUUCUCUUUCCUGCCUUUUAAAGUUUUUGCUUAUUUAAAGGCGUGCUUUAAGAAAAUACAUAAAGGUGGUUUCCUUAAGGGCUAUGUUUCUUAACUUUCCCGCCACAACAGCAACAACUAGAGCCUCAUAAACAGUUCCUGCCACAAAUCUCUCACAGCCUCACAGUGGGGAUGGUUCUGUCGGGCAAGGGAGCACCCACCCUGGACGUGCUGGGGACCAGCAAAGGCUGUCUGCACCUGCCAGCCGCAGCAGGGGCGCCCCAGAGGGUGAAGAGCACGCAGGACACGACCACUCUGCUCCCUCUGGCUCCCUAAGAGGCCUUCUUAUUCAGGCACGCUAUGAACAGACAGUCCAGUUUGGCCUGUUCUAAUGUCUGACGCUUCCAAAGCAAAGACUUUCCAAACCAGUUUUGUAUGAGUUAGAAGAAAAACAAAAGUCAUUUCAGUGUAUCACAUAAUUUCACUCUCUCUCAGGCUUCCCACCGUCCUGUGUCACAGACAUGGAUCCUCUGUCACACUCUGUAACAGCAGCAUCAAUGACUUAAUUUUAAAAGUGACCUUCAAAUUCCAUCUUCAUUUCCCUGAAAUUAGAUUUGAUUCCAGUCCAGGCAGCCAUCUCUAAGCACCGACAGAUCCUGCUGGUUUGAAUAGAACCGGAAGGGCAUAUUGUGUCCAUCAGACAAUGAAACUUCUAACUACAUUAGAAAAUCUCACAUACCACUUAGAAAACAAAUAACAUCACAGUUAGUGACCUAUGUUUUAACAGGAAGAAGAAAGUUAAAAAAAAAAUCCGCCAUAGAGUUUCCGCGGGUCACUUUUCAGGUGCAGACGCAGCCUGUGAUUCUAUCCUUUCCUUUCUCUCUCCGUGAUUCACUUUUCCUCCUCUUCACAAUGCAGUGAUAAGGAGCGAAGCUGGGAGACCUGUUCUUCAGAGAUGAGCCCAACCAGGAAGUGAGAAACAAGGUUGUGGAUGAUGACACAAGUCUCCCUAGCAACAACUCUGCAGAGGCGCGCAAGCCCCUGGCCUUUGCUGCGUGAAGCGGGAAGUCAUCCAGCUGCCUAACGCCUGAGAGUCAGCAACCUCAAGGCCGAGGACUCACCAAGUGGGAGUGAGCAGAUACUUUCCUGAAUGCCUGAGCAAUGGUGAAACAGAGAGGUCUGAGCAAGGGAAGUAAAGGAUGGUGUAAAACAAUCCCAAGACAACUGGCAAAGCAACUGAAGUCACUGGAGGCUUUCUUUUUCCCCUCUCAUCCUGGAAAACUUACUGGCAGCUGAAAGAGACAGACUUAUCUUCUCUGAUGAUCUCGGAAGCCAGAUGACCUGGUCUGUCAGAAGGAAAGAAGACUGUCCACAGUGAGCUUCCUCCUUUCUCCCUGGGCAGUGUUUCCACACCAGAUGGAGAGGAGCAGGGAACACGCAACAAAGCCUGGGGCCCGGGCUCCCUGGACGUUCAUCCGUGCCCCUAGGCAUAUUGUGUUUUGUUUGGAGUAGUGGUCACGGUUAGUUUUAAUCCUGGGAUCCAGAAAGCAAAGCCUGCCACAUUUGCUUAUUUAUGAGUAUAGAGAGCAUCACUGAAAGCAUCUUCAACCUGACAAGCAUCAAUGAAAACAACUGCUGGAUUCAGAGGGAGACUUCCAGGUUUAUGCCUGAAAGCUAUAUUUCUUUGAUCAAAGGGAGCUGUAACAAUCACAAGGUCACUACCCAGCAUUAUUAUUUUUUUUUUUUUCUGAGGCAGAGUCUUGCUCUGUCACCCAGGCUGGAGUGCAAUAGCGCGAUCUUGGCUCACUGCAACCUCUGCCUCCUGGGUUCAAGCAGUUCUCCUGCCUCAGGCUCCCAAGCAGCUGGAAUUACAGGCAUGUGCCACCAUACCCGACUAAUUUUGUAUUUUUAGUAGAGACGGGGUUUCAUCAUAUUGGCCAGGCUGGUCUUGAACUCCUGAUCUCGUGAUCUGCCCGCCUCGGCCUCCCCAAGUGCUUGGAUUACAGGCGUGAGCCACUGUGCCCGGCCUGCCCGGCAUUAUCUUAAUCAUAACAAUGACCAUCAAGUUUAUCACCAGAAAGUGAAACACUCCCGCCUUGUGGAACAUUUGUGUAUGACAUGGCACUAAUUCCAACUGUACCACCACCAUCACUAAUGCCAAAAGCAGAACUGAGACACUCCUAGAAAAGAGCUUCCCUCCCAACAGAGAAAAAACAGUGGGCAGGAAUCCUGCUGUGAGGAGCUACAAGCAUCCCACCGCCUGCUGCCAUCACGGCCCACGGCCAAACCCUGGGGUCCCCUGAAGUCCACCAGAAGCAUCCUUGGCAUUUCCCUUCACACAAAGUCAAGAGCAGCCACUGUCCCAGGCCCACUGAAAAAGCCUCUCGUCUCCUCUCUACCAGUAAAUAAAAAUUCCAUAAUUAUGCCGUAAAAAGCCCCAACUUUGACUCAGAAUAUAACUGUUGCAGUUCUAUGCUCACUACCACCUUUUCCCUGAAUGGAAAUGCAGGGAUUAGCCAUGGCAAAAAGAGACAGAGGGGAAAAAAAGACUCUUUUUUUCCUCUCAGGUUCUAAAAAGGCCAGAUGUCUCCUCCCUUAGUCUCUAAGCCACCCAAGAAAAAUUAAAGUGAUAUCACAAACAGAGAAAAGAAAAAAAAAGUAUGUUGUCUUGAAAAACAAAGGUGCCUGGUGACAGCAGCACAGACAUCAGAGGUGGUCAUGAUGGGGACCUAUCAUACAAAAGGAAGCCAAAGUACACCCACAAUAAUUUGGAGAUUCACCAGAUCCCCUCAGAGUUUUUGUGUUUUUGUCUGUGUAUGUGUGUGUGUGUGUGUGUGUGUGUGUGUGUGUUUAAAAACAUUUUUUCCUUUUGUUAGGCCACAUGCUACUAACGAGAUUCUCAGCACAAGAAAAAAGAAAAGAGUACAGAGCAAUGGAGAUGGGGAACGGGAGAGCUAGAAAAGUGCUGGACAAGGAGGGAGAAGUAGUUAAGCCACAGGAUUACAUACAAGAGUCACCGUCAAGAAUCACAAAGAGAAAUGAGAGGUAACGCUUUCUUUAUCUCUCGAAGGCGAGUGAGGGCACUCGGCAGAGUCACUUAGUAUUUCGACUGGCUCGGGCAUCUGCGGGAAAGCUUUGACCUAUGGGGGACAAACGGGGAGGUAGGAUUAGAAGUCUGGGUACAAGUCUUGUCCCCUCACAGUCCUCUCCCUCUGAGGCUCCCUCCUGGAGCAUCUUCCUAUUUGGCACCGCAGGCCUAGUCCUCUAAGCCGUCUACUCCGGGACCCUGUGACACAAGCCCUCAGAACGUGAGGCUGAAUCACAGGGCUGGAGGUUGGGAGACCAUUAAGGUUCUCACUGUCCUCCCUUUACUCUCUCCCCUGAGCCCCAUCUUUAGAACUCUUGAGAACAAAAAGACAAAGAAGGAAAAUAAUUGGUGCACAUGUGUGACCAGAGUAUCCCUGGUGGUUCAGAACAUGACAAUGCCUUACAAGAUGCAGAGGCCUCAUUACCACCCCACAACCAAUUUACACUCCUGUCCUUCCUCUCUUUUAAAUUUAUUUUGAAAAAUACUUCCUUUCAAGCCAGAUGUGGUGGCUCACGCUUGUAAUCCCAGCACUUUGGGAGGCCGAGGAGGGUGGAUCACCUGAGGUCAGGAGUUCAAGACCAGCCUGGCCAACAUGGUGAAACCCCAUCUCUACUAAAAAUACAAAAAAAAAAAUUAGCUGGGUGUGGUGGCGGGCACCUGUAAUCCUAGCUACUCAGGAGACUGAGGCAGGAGAAUGGCUUGAACCUGGGAGGUGGAGGUUGCGGUGAGCCGAUAUCAUGCCACUGCACUCCAGCCUGGGCCACACAAGAGCAAAAACUCCAUCUCAAAAAAAAAAAAAAAAAAAAAAAACAAGAAAAGAAAAAAGAAAAGAAAAAUUCUUCCUUUCCUAUUUAUCCUGAUAUUCCUGAAGCCAAAAGCCAAAGAGAGAAAGAAAACACAGAACAACUUCUAGGCUGGGUGCAGUGGCUCAGGCCUGUAAUCCCAGCACUUUGGGAGGCUGAGGUGGGUGGAUUACUUGAGGUCAGGAGUUUGAGACCAGCCUGGCCAUUGUGGUAAAACCCCGUCUCUACAAAAAAUACGAAAAUUAGCCAGGCAAUGGUGGCACGUGCCUGUAGUCUCAGCUACUGGGGAGGCUGAGUCAGGAGAAUCGCUUGAACCAGGGGGCGGAGGUUGCAGUGAGCCAAGACCAAGCCACUGCACUUCAGGGAGAAAAAGUGAGACUCCGUCUCAAAAACAACAACAACAACAACAAAACUUCUUACCGUAUUGUGCCAGCUAGAAGUGGGUUGAAGGCAUACAACCAGUCGUUCAUGUCUUUGUCAUUGAGGGCCUGCAAAAGGACCCCACGGUGCUUUGUGCAGACAGCAAAGGUGUUUGGUGUCUGAAAGAAAAAUGCAGGUAGACAAGAAAGUUACUACAGAGACAGCAAUGGGGACUGCCUUGCCAUAUUCCCAAGGCAUAUAGCACUUCACAAAGGAAGUUCAAAACCAGAGAGAAUAGGGAAAUUUCACACCACGUAACAGAGAGUGCAGAAAUCAAAAGAGAAGGGCACACGUGGCAAUAAGAAACCAAGGCAGGGCAGGACGGACCUUCACCAUGGCCUGCUGGUCCUCACUGUACUCCACCUGUGCUGUGGACAGGUUAAUGAUUCCACGCUCCACAGGGUCUUUGUCACUGUUAUAGAUGAAGACAUAAGGCCGACGGACGACAACAAAAUGUUUAGCCCAGUUACUGUAAAGAGGCUCCUUGAAAUGAAGGUAUCCUUUCUUAGAGACCACUGAGCUAAAAACGACAAUAUGACAAAAGUUAGUUUCUCACAAAAAGAAAAUAAUCGUGCUGAGGACCAUCAAAAUACGCCACACUUAGGCCAAGUCCUUAGAUUCGAUGAAACAGGCAAAUGACCUAUUUGGCCUAGAAUCUUAUCUGCCAAAGUAAUACGGCAAAAGCGAAACCGUGCCAUGGCAACAUGCUGCGCCAGGGUGCAGAUGCAUUAUGAGACCCAACUGGAGAAACCCAGGCUGGCCCUCUCACCCCAGACUCAACUUGCAUCAGACUACAGUACAGAUUGCAUCAGACUACAGUACAGACCUCACAGGGAAGAGCUGGCCAGUCACUUCUUCCUGUGGAUUUGUUUUUUAUAGCUGGCAUUCCUGCUCAAUAUAGUACUCACCUUGGUCUAAUUUCUUCAAUAUCUGGAACAAGAUUGAGAAAUUCGUUUUUUCCUGCUCGGGCCAAAUAUGGUGUUUCCACAGCUGGGACAAUCUGAAACUGUUCAAAUUCUGGGCAGGGACUAGAGGCCCGGGAAUUGGCUUCUGGGGUCCUUUAAAAUAGAGAGAUUAGAAAGAAAAGGGUAACAAGAGAAUCAGUUACAAUCAAGGCAUACUGAGUACUGUUUCACUGGGAGGAACACAAUGGCCCUCCCUAAACCCCAGCUGCAAACUUGAGUUGCAGAGAGCUCAGCUGAGGAGACAAGCUGGCUUCAGAAAGUUAACUCUGCGUUCAACUGGUGUCAUCCUUCUGAAGUUAUGAAAGGAAAUUGAUCAUUGAUGGCCACUGGGUCACACAAUCUCUCUGCCUAUAUUAAAGCCCUCUGAACACAUUAUCUGGAAUAGGAACUCUACUCCUUUAUAUGUUUCUUUUUAGUCCCAUGGCCACACCAAAAGCGAUGUUUCUCAAAGUGUGCUCCCAGCCAGCAGCAUCAGCUUCACCUGGGAAACUGUUCAAAAACUCAAAUUUUUAGACUCCAAGCCAGACCUACGGAACGAGAAACUUUGGGUGGGGUUGAGCCAUGGGGGCUUCAACAAGCCUCCCAGGGGAUGAUGAUGUACACUGAAGUCUCAGAGGCCCACUGCCUUAGAAAAUGGCAGAAAAAGCAAACAAAUGGGAAGACCCAGGGUUCCUGAACGGCUGUGCAGAGAAGACCUGCACCACUGACCUGGACCUGGACCAGCCCUCUUGACUACUGUGUGAGAA